CGUGCCACAAGCCAAAAUAGUGCGUAUCGGCUACUCAAUGAAAAGAGAUGACCCAGAUGGGUCGUCCUAUUUUGUUGCAACCCAAUUUUUUAUACAUUUAAGGUUCAAAAUUUAUUAGAACACUUUCAAACACUCUCAAAUGGCUUCAAAUCAAUUGGACACUCUCAGAAGGCUUCAAAAACUUCUCCAACUUACAGAAAUUUUAAUUUUGGCAUACUUGAUGAAGCUUUUCAAACUCAAUCUUUUGGACUACCUAAAAUAUCAUAAAAAUAUUCUUCA
rnacentral:lncRNA from 1 species